CCUUUGUACACACCGCCCGUCGCUACUACCGAUCGAAUGGCUCAGUGAGGCGUUCGGACUGGCUUAGGGAGGUCGGCAACGACCACCCGGAGCCGGAAAGUUCGUCAAACUUGGUCAUUUAGAGG
rnacentral:rRNA from 1 species